rnacentral:rRNA from 1 species
CCUACGGGAGGCAGCAGUGGGGAAUAUUGGACAAUGGGGGCAACCCUGAUCCAGCCAUGCCGCGUGUGUGAAGAAGGCCCUCGGGUUGUAAAGCACUUUCAGUGAGUAAGAACGCCUGGUGGUUAAUACCCAUCAGGAAAGACAUCACUCACAGAAGAAGCACCGGCUAACUCCGUGCCAGCAGCCGCGGUAAUACGGAGGGUGCGAGCGUUAAUCGGAAUUACUGGGCGUAAAGCGCGCGUAGGUGGCUUGAUAAGCCGGUUGUGAAAGCCCCGGGCUCAACCUGGGAACGGCAUCCGGAACUGUCAAGCUAGAGUGCAGGAGAGGAAGGUAGAAUUCCCGGUGUAGCGGUGAAAUGCGUAGAGAUCGGGAGGAAUACCAGUGGCGAAGGCGGCCUUCUGGACUGACACUGACACUGAGGUGCGAAAGCGUGGGUAGCAAACAGGAUUAGAUACCCUAGUAGUC